GACGUAGGGCGCGAGCGUUGUCCGGAUUUAUUGGGCGUAAAGAGCUCGUAGGCGGCUUGUCGCGUCGUCCGUGAAAACCUGCAGCUCAACUGCAGGCUUGCGGUCGAUACGGGCAUCACUGGAGUUCGGCAGGGGAGACUGGAAUUCCAGGUGUAGCGGUGAAAUGCGUAGAUAUCUGGAGGAACACCGGUGGCGAAGGCGGCAUCCUGGACCAUUACUGACGCUGAAUAGCGAAAGCCAGGGGAGCAAACGGG
rnacentral:rRNA from 1 species